CCCGCCACUAUAGCAGUCUGAUGUGACUGUGUAUAUUCCAGUGGUGCGCUAAGAAUAAACUCCACCUCUAGGAAACAGGUUCACCCUAUAUGUGGGUGACUGUGCCGUAAGGAUGGGGACACAU